GUUCCAAACCAUAUUUGAGAGGCUAGUAAAUAGAAAAUAAAGUCGAAGGCGUUUCCAAUGAUGAACUUCAGAAAGAAUCGGAGCAUCCUAGGAAGAAUAGAAGAUCUACGUGACCCAAUUUUCCUGUGAUUUGUUGAUUCACAUCGAUAAAACCAGUUGUGUGCCACAUACAUGGCACGAAUCCCGAGCUUCCUCUUACCGAUAGGC
rnacentral:lncRNA from 1 species